CCUCUCAGAGCAGGGCUCUGACACGUUACUGGGUUACAAAGACCCCUCCCUGCCAGGGCCAGCGUGCAGCACAGUGUGCUUUUGAGUUCCGGUGAACGGGGUGCUCUGGCUGGAGCCUAGUGCGAAGUUUCCCCUUCUCCGCCCAUUCCUCAUCCCUCAGGGCACACAGGUCACCUUUCCUCGCCUUCUCGUCCCCACCUCUAAGGCUUGGCCAAAGUUUCUUCAUAAAAGCAAGAAAGAUAACGAAAGAGCCCCCCAUGGGUUAUGGUUUUUGUGGGGCCAGGAAUGCCCAGUUUGAACCUCCAGUUCCGCCACCUGUAGCCGAGUGAAAGAGGCUGGGUUAUUCAGACACCCCAAGCCUCAGUUUCCCCACUUGUUGUGAGGCUUGAGUGUGCUAACACAUCAAGGCAACCCAGAACAGCGCUUGGCAGAGACUCGCAGUUUAUCACUGUGAACUGUCGUUAUUGGAAAGUGGGUGGAGUCGGGUUUGGAUUCCCCCAGGAGCAGAGACAGAAACAAAAGGAUUCAAGGGCAAGGAUGGCCACGUCCCAGCUCUAUCCAGCCCCUGGCCCAGUGCCUGGGGUUCGGUGGCGCUCAGUUCACGCUUGCAGAGCGAGCGGCGGUGAGUGGAUGCGGUGGGGUCGGGCUGUGGUGGUAAAGGUGGCCGUGAACAGGAGGGGCCACUAGAGCACACAGACGUGAAUGACAUGGGGCUCCAGGAGGGGCAGGAAGAGCUACAGAAACAGCAUCCCCAAAGCUGCCUGGCACGGAAGAGGUGCUGCAGAAAUGGGACUUCCCUUCCCAUCCUCUUCUCCUGAUAAACAACUGAAAACAUAAGAGCGAGAUCUUGGGGCUUCUGUGAGGUUAAAUGAACGAACAAAAGUCUUACAGCGGAAAUCACUGAGAAUCUCCCCUCCCCUGUCUUCCAAGGAGAACAUGAUUGUGAGCCUGCUCCUCCCUUCCUGGGGGGGUUGCUUCCUGCUGGGGAGAGGCUAAGUUGAACUCUAGGAUCAAGAAAGGGAAGGAGGCAGAGAAAGGUGAGAAAGGUGAGAAAGAUGAGAAGGUGCUCGCAUGGAGCGUCCGGGCAGUACCAGGCUGGCCCGAAGGAGGUGCGGAUGAGGGGGAAAGGCUGUUUACAGAUGUGGUGGCUUCUCCGUGUGCAUUCACCUCCUGGGUCUCAACUCGUGCAGAUGGAGGGUCUGAGUUAAUCUGAGGUUACAUUUGUUUGCUCAGCUAUGCUUUUUCAAGAGGCCAUUCCUCUGAGACUGAGCCCCAUGGCUCCUGGCUUUACAUGAGUUACACGCAUCUUCUUCUCCUUUUUUCUAAAUAGUAAGGGGCAGAGAGAGUUAGAAAUAAAAAGGAAAGCUGAAAACAAAAACCUCUCAGAAGAGACUCUGGCUGUUUU
rnacentral:lncRNA from 1 species